rnacentral:rRNA from 1 species
GAUGAACGCUGGCGGCGUGCCUAAUACAUGCAAGACGAGCGAACGGACGAGAAGCUUGCUUCUCUGAUGUUAGCGGCGGACGGGUGAGUAACACGUGGAUAACCUACCUAUAAGACUGGGAUAACUUCGGGAAACCGGAGCUAAUACCGGAUAAUAUUUUGAACCGCAUGGUUCAAAAGUGAAAGACGGUCUUGCUGUCACUUAUAGAUGGAUCCGCGCUGCAUUAGCUAGUUGGUAAGGUAACGGCUUACCAAGGCAACGAUGCAUAGCCGACCUGAGAGGGUGAUCGGCCACACUGGAACUGAGACACGGUCCAGACUCCUACGGGAGGCAGCAGUAGGGAAUCUUCCGCAAUGGGCGAAAGCCCGACGGAGCAACGCCGCGUGAGUGAUGAAGGUCUUCGGAUCGUAAAACUCUGUUAUUAGGGAAGAACAUAUGUGUAAGUAACUGUGCACAUCUUGACGGUACCUAAUCAGAAAGCCACGGCUAACUACGUG